rnacentral:rRNA from 1 species
AACGAACGCUGGCGGCAUGCCUAACACAUGCAAGUCGAACGAGAUCUUCGGGUCUAGUGGCGCACGGGUGCGUAACGCGUGGGAAUCUGCCCUUUGGUUCGGAAUAACAGUUGGAAACGACUGCUAAUACCGGAUGAUGACGAAAGUCCAAAGAUUUAUCGCCAGAGGAUGAGCCCGCGUAGGAUUAGCUAGUUGGUGUGGUAAAGGCGCACCAAGGCGACGAUCCUUAGCUGGUCUGAGAGGAUGAUCAGCCACACUGGGACUGAGACACGGCCCAGACUCCUACGGGAGGCAGCAGUGGGGAAUAUUUGACAAUGGGCGAAAGCCUGAUCCAGCAAUGCCGCGUGAGUGAUGAAGGCCUUAGGGUUGUAAAGCUCUUUUACCCGUGAUGAUAAUGACAGUACCGGGAGAAUAAGCUCCGGCUAACUCCGUGCCAGCAGCCGCCGUAA